rnacentral:rRNA from 1 species
GGGAGGUAGUGACAAUAAAUAACAAUACGGGGUUCUUUCGGAUUUCGUAAUUGGAAUGAGUACAAUUUAAAUCUCUUAACGAGGAACAAUUGGAGGGCAAGUCUGGUGCCAGCAGCCGCGGUAAUUCCAGCUCCAAUAGCGUAUAUUAAAGUUGUUGCAGUUAAAAAGCUCGUAGUUGAAUUUCGGGGUCAGUAGAUUGGUCGUGCCACUGGUAUGUACUGGUCUUACUGGCUCCUCCUUCCUGAUGAACCGUAAUGCCAUUAAUUUGGUGUUGCGGGGAGACUGGACUGUUACUUUGAAAAAUUAGAGUGUUUAAAGCAGGCUAACGCUUGAAUACAUUAGCAUGGAAUAAUGAAAUAGGACGUUCGAUCUUAUUUUGUUGGUUUCUAAGAUUGACGUAAUGAUUAAUAGGGAUAGUUGGG